AUUGAAUUGAGCUGCCCUCGCCGUCUCCUCGCUCAAAUGGACCUGACUGCUUUUACAGUUGUCGGGAAGUUUACAUCCACUUAGGUUGGAGUCAUUAAAACUAGUUUACAUACACUUAGGUUGGAGUCAUUAAAACUAGUUUACACACACUUAGGUUGGAGUCAUUAAAACUAGUUUACAUCCACUUAGGUUGGAGUCAUUAAAACUAGUUUACAUACACUUAGGUUGGAGUCAUUACAACUAGUUUACAUACACUUAGGUUGGAGUCAUUAAAACUAGUUUACAUACACUUAGGUUGGAGUCAUUAAAACUAGUUUACAUACACUUAGGUUGGAGUCAUUAAAACUAGUUUACAUACACUUAGGUUGGAGUCAUUAAAACUAGUUUACAUCCACUUAGGUUGGAGUCAUUAAAACUAGUUUACAUCCACUUAGGUUGGAGUCAUUAAAACUAGUUUACAUCCACUUAGGUUGGAGUCAUUAAAACUAGUUUACAUCCACUUAGGUUGGAGUCAUUAAAACUAGUUUACAUACACUUAGGUUGGAGUCAUUAAAACUAGUUUACAUCCACUUAGGUUGGAGUCAUUAAAACUAGUUUACAUACACUUAGGUUGGAGUCAUUAAAACUAGUUUACAUCCACUUAGGUUGGAGUCAUUAAAACUAGUUUACAUCCACUUAGGUUGGAGUCAUUAAAACUAGUUUACAUCCACUUAGGUUGGAGUCAUUAAAACUAGUUUACACCCACUUAGGUUGGAGUCAUUAAAACUAGUUUACAUCCACUUAGGUUGGAGUCAUUAAAACUAGUUUACAUACACUUAGGUUGGAGUCAUUAAAACUAGUUUACAUCCACUUAGGUUGGAGUCAUUAAAACUAGUUUACAUCCACUUAGGUUGGAGUCAUUAAAACUAGUUUACAUCCACUUAGGUUGGAGUCAUUAAAACUAGUUUACAUCCACUUAGGUUGGAGUCAUUAAAACUAGUUUACAUCCACUUAGGUUGGAGUCAUUAAAACUAGUUUACAUCCACUUAGGUUGGAGUCAUUAAAACUAGUUUACAUCCACUUAGGUUGGAGUCAUUAAAACUAGU